rnacentral:rRNA from 1 species
UACGUAGGGGGCUAGCGUUGUCCGGAAUCAUUGGGCGUAAAGAGCGCGUAGGCGGCCAGAUAAGUCCGGUGUGAAAGUCACAGGCUCAACCUGUGAAUGCCGCUGGAAACUGUCUGGCUAGAGUCCGGAAGGGCGAGUGGAAGUUCCUGGUGUAGCGGUGAAAUGCGCAGAUAUCAGGAGGAACACCGGUGGCGAAGGCGGAUCUCUGGGCCUUACCUGACGCUCAUGCGCGAAAGCUAGGGGAGCGAACAGG